rnacentral:sRNA from 1 species
CGCCGCUGCCUUUACAGGCAUCCUCUCCCAAACUUUAUGCCCGGCUCAUGCAUUUGAGCCGGGUUUUCUUUACCCCGU